rnacentral:rRNA from 1 species
AUUGAACGCUGGCGGCAUGCCUUACACAUGCAAGUCGAACGGCAGCACGGGUGCUUGCCCCUGGUGGCGAGUGGCGCACGGGUGAGUAAUACAUCGGAACAUGUCCUGUCUUGGGGGAUAGCCCGGCGAAAGCCGGAUUAAUACCGCAUUCGAUCUACGCAUGAAAGCGGGGGACCUUCGGGCCUCGCGCUUUUGGGUUGGCCGCUGGCUGAUUCGCUAGUUUGUGGGGUAAAGGCCUACCAAGGCGACGAUCAGUAGCUGGUCCGAGAGGACGACCAGCCACACUGGGACUGAGACACGGCCCAGACGCCUACGGGAGGCAGCAGUGGGGAAUGUUGGACAAUGGGCGAAAGUCUGAUCCAGCAAUGCCGCGUGUGUGAAGAAGGCCUUCGGGUUGUAAAGCACUUUUGUGCGGAAAGAAAUCCUUGGCGCUAAUACAGUCGGGGGAUGACGGUACCGGAAGAAUAAGCACCGGCUAACUACGUG